AAAUCUUUGUCCAUACCUAGAUUUCUCCUUUUUUUUUUUCCUUUUUUUUUUCCUUUUUUUUUUUUUUCUAGAAAUCUCUGCUAAUGUUCCCUUGAAGAUAAUGCAGUGUUUUCUUGUGUGCAUGUAGCCACUGUCACCUUUCACUCAUCCUCUUUGUCAACAUCAACAAUCAUAAAAGACAUGUUUCUGUUGAGCAAUCAAGGAAAAUGGAACAAACAAACAAA
rnacentral:lncRNA from 1 species